rnacentral:lncRNA from 1 species
GGGCCAAGGGUGGUGUCAGAUACGGUGUGCUUUGCUUGUGGCAUGUCAAUAGCCAGAUUUCACCCAAACAUGCCCAGAAUUAAGAAGCCAGAUCAGACAAUCCAGACAGGAACAACAUAAAAAUUAGACCUGUAGGUCCGAACGUGACGUGAGCUUCGCCAUCAUACUUUGUUCCCAUCUUGCAAUUUUUCGUUGCAGAAGAC